rnacentral:tRNA from 1 species
GCGGAUAUAGUUUAGUGGUAAAACUUCAGCUUCCCAAGCUGAUAAGGCGGGUUCGAUUCCCGUUAUCCGCUCCA